rnacentral:rRNA from 1 species
AGUCGCCGCGGUAAUACGAAGGGUGCAAGCGUUACUCGGAAUUACUGGGCGUAAAGCGUGCGUAGGUGGUGGUUUAAGUCCGUUGUGAAAGCCCUGGGCUCAACCUGGGAAUUGCAGUGGAUACUGGGUCACUAGAGUGUGGUAGAGGAUAGUGGAAUUUCCGGUGUAGCAGUGAAAUGCGUAGAGAUCGGAAGGAACAUCUGUGGCGAAGGCGACUAUCUGGGCCAACACUGACACUGAGGCACGAAAGCGUGGGGAGCAAACAGGAUUAGAUACCCCAGUAGUCCCUGUCUCUUAUACA